GGGGGGAGGAGGCGAACCUCAUAAUAGUUGUGCCCUGUGGGGAAGACUUCUGUUGGGCUGGCGAGAAGAGAAGGGGCCGAAACUUGCUUUUUGCUGAAAGGAAGAGACGGUGUCUUCCUAUGUUGCCCAGGCUGGGCUUGAACUCCUGGGCUCAAGCGAUCCUUCUGCCUCGGCCCCCCAAAAUGCUGAAAUUACGGGUGUCAGCCACCACGCCUGGCCUACGUGAGUCAUAUUAACAGCUAAAUAAGCCUCUUGCCAGUUUUACAACCUAGGAAGGUUUUCCCUUGAGGGCCUUGAAGCCACCAACUCAAAAGGAUCAACACACCCAGCUAAAACAGCUCAACUUCCUCAUCACACAACACAGUUCUGGCCAGUUAGACACACGUCCCCGGAAAGGGCAUCUCCAGGAGAAUAAAAAGGCCAAGCCACUUUUUGAAGAAAGUCUUUGUCCCUACCCCCUUUUUCUACCUGGAAGUCAGACUCAGGCCUGGAGUGUAGCGGCCGCCUUGGUACCUGGAAGCAACAAUCAUGGCCGGGAGACCUUACACCUGGCAUGGUAGAGCAGACGGAGGAGGGGCCGCCUGGUGAAUAGCCUGGCCAACAGCCCCAAACUGCUACCCCUUAAAUUCUGGAUUUCAGGUGACUGCUGUAACUUGAAGCAAGAAAAGUGAAACUACAGAAAAGGGAGGACCACUGGACGGCUGCUUUCAUUCUAC
rnacentral:lncRNA from 1 species